ACAUUACAUACAUGCAUAACAUUAUGCCUCAUGAUUAUUCCAAGGGUCAAAAACUUAAAAAUUCAAAAUAAUUUUGGAAAUUAUAAAGCAUAAAGAUUGGCAUUUAACUCCUUGAGUAUGCCUAUGCUAAUGGUCUUUUAUUAGUUCUGAUACCAUUAUAAUUACCAUGUGUAUUACAUAGAGGCUGAAAGGUGAUGAUUAGACAGGAUCACAGUAUACUUCUUGCAAUUUUCUGUGAGUCUGUAAAUGAGUCUAGAAAAUGCUUAGGAAAGGAUAUGUAAGGGGCAGGAGAGAUGGCUUGGUGGUUAAGAGCAAAGACCGCUUUUGCAGAGGACCCAGGUUCAACUCAACAACCAUCUGUAACUCCAGUUCCAGGGGGUCAGGAACUCUUUUUUGACUUCCAUGGAUACUAGGCAUGUAUGUGGUGCAUAGUCAUACAGGUGGAACAUGCACUUUUUUAAAAAAAGAAAAAUGGAGCUGGAGAAAUGGCUCAGCAGUUAAGAGCAAUGACAACUCUAACAGAAGUCCUGAGUUCAAUUCCCAACAACCACAUGGUGGCUCACAACCAUCUGUAAUGAGAUCUGAUACCCUCUUCUGGUAGGUCUGAAGAUAGUGUACUUAACAAAAAACAAAUAAAUUAAUCUUUAUAAAAAUGUAAA
rnacentral:lncRNA from 1 species